rnacentral:rRNA from 1 species
AUUGAACGCUGGCGGCAGGCCUAACACAUGCAAGUCGAGCGAGCGGCGGACGGGUGAGUAAUGUCUGGGAAACUGCCUGAUGGAGGGGGAUAACUACUGGAAACGGUAGCUAAUACCGCAUACCAUCAGAUGUGCCCAGAUGGGAUUAGCUAGUAGGGGGGGAAAUGGCUCACCUAGGCGACGAUCCCUAGCUGGGCUGAGAGGAUGACCAGCCACAAUGGAACUGAGACACGGUCCAGACUCCGACGGGAGGCAGCAGUGGGGAAUAUUGCACAUUGUGCGCAAGCCUGAUGCAGCCAUGCCGCGGGUAUGAAGAAGGCCUUCGAGUGGUAAAGUACUUUCAGCGGGGAGGCGUUACCCGCAGAAGAAGCACCGGCUAACUCCGUGCCAGCAGCCGCGGUAAUAC